AGGUUAUGACAGGAUGAUGGGGGUUGAUAACUUUGAAGAGAUUUAAAUGGCCAUGCAUGGCCUAGCAGAGAUGGGAAGGAUGAUGGGUAUGAUGGAUAUGAAACGAGUGCGGUAAGGUUGGAGAGAUGAGGGUAGCCAUGCGCAUAGGAAUUCAUGCACAUGGAAAGGAAGGAAGAAAAGUUCAUGGGGAUCGAGUGGAGGAAGAAGAGUGAUGUUGAGUAAAAAAUGUAAUAACAUGUAUUAGCCUCUCAUAGCCAGCAAGGAAGGAAUAGCAGUCAAGUUGGGUUUAUUGGGUGUAAUGUCUCUUUUCCUUGCAUUUUUGUAUUCAACUUUGGACGAUGAUGGCUUGCUCAAGGCUCUCAUGGUACUGGCGAAUGCCCAGCCCCAGCCCCAGCUUUUGCUUUGGCCAUGAAACAGAGGUCCCGGUGCUGCCGCUGUGGUGGAUUUGCCUUUCACGUUGUCUUUAACCGUGGAUGACAUCCAGUAUGACGAUGAGGAUGAGGAAGAGGAGGAUGGAGUCAUGAUGAACUCACCAAAGAAGCCAUCGCAUUUUACCCUCUCCUUGAACAAAAAAAAUCUCAACAUUGCUGAAACCAGGAGACACACGAAGUGGUGUCUAUACCAUAACAGGAUUUCGAUACUUGAAGAGAGAAGAGUUGCCCUAAAGUAGCUUUUGAAGGG
rnacentral:lncRNA from 1 species